rnacentral:rRNA from 1 species
GACGAACGCUGGCGGCGCGCCUAACACAUGCAAGUCGAACGAGCGAGAGAGAGCUUGCUUUCUCGAGCGAGUGGCGAACGGGUGAGUAACGCGUGAGGAACCUACCUCAAAGAGGGGGACAACAGUUGGAAACGACUGCUAAUACCGCAUAAGCCCACAGCUCGGCAUCGAGCAGAGGGAAAAGGAGCAAUCCGCUUUGAGAUGGCCUCGCGUCCGAUUAGCUAGUUGGUGAGGUAAUGGCCCACCAAGGCAACGAUCGGUAGCCGGACUGAGAGGUUGAACGGCCACAUUGGGACUGAGACACGGCCCAGACUCCUACGGGAGGCAGCAGUGGGGAAUAUUGCACAAUGGGGGAAACCCUGAUGCAGCGACGCCGCGUGGAGGAAGAAGGUCUUCGGAUUGUAAACUCCUGUUGUUGAGGAAGAUAAUGACGGUACUCAACAAGGAAGUGACGGCUAACUACGUGCCAGCAGCCGCGGUAAAACGUAGGUCACAAGCGUUGUCCGGAAUUACUGGGUGUAAAGGGAGCGCAGGCGGGAAGACAAGUUGGAAGUGAAAUCUAUGGGCUCAACCCAUAAACUGCUUUCAAAACUGUUUUUCUUGAGUAGUGCAGAGGUAGGCGGAAUUCCCGGUGUAGCGGUGGAAUGCGUAGAUAUCGGGAGGAACACCAGUGGCGAGGGCGGCCUACUGGGCACCAACUGACGCUGAGGCUCGAAAGUGUGGGUAGCAAACAGGAUUAGAUACCCUGGUAGUCCACACCGUAAACGAUGAUUACUAGGUGUUGGAGGAUUGACCCCUUCAGUGCCGCAGUUAACACAAUAAGUAAUCCACCUGGGGAGUACGACCGCAAGGUUGAAACUCAAAGGAAUUGACGGGGGCCCGCACAAGCAGUGGAGUAUGUGGUUUAAUUCGACGCAACGCGAAGAACCUUACCAAGUCUUGACAUCCCUUGACGAACAUAGAAAUAUGUUUUCUCUUCGGAGCAAGGAGACAGGUGGUGCAUGGUUGUCGUCAGCUCGUGUCGUGAGAUGUUGGGUUAAGUCCCGCAACGAGCGCAACCCUUACUGUCAGUUACUACGCAAGAGGACUCUGGCAGGACUGCCGUUGACAAAACGGAGGAAGGUGGGGAUGACGUCAAAUCAUCAUGCCCUUUAUGACUUGGGCUACACACGUACUACAAUGGCGUUAAACAAAGAGAAGCAAGACCGCGAGGUGGAGCAAAACUCAGAAACAACGUCCCAGUUCGGACUGCAGGCUGCAACUCGCCUGCACGAAGUCGGAAUUGCUAGUAAUCGUGGAUCAGCAUGCCACGGUGAAUACGUUCCCGGGCCUU